rnacentral:lncRNA from 1 species
ACUAGACUGCGUAGUGGAACAUUACAAUUAAAUAUUGAAGUUGGUCGUUUUGACAAUAUUGUAAGAGAAAAUCGUAUAUGUAUAUGCUGUCAUAUGAAUUGUAUUGAAAACGAGUACCAUUUUGUUCUUGUAUGUCCUGCCUUUAGAUCAUUGAGACUACAGUUUUUACCAAAAUAUUAUUGUUCAUGGCCAACUAUUAGAAAGCUGUUAUUUCUUUUACAGGCUAGAUCAUAGAGUCUAACUAAACAAUUGUGUAAAUUUCUUAAUGCGGC